UGCAGCCUUGUCAAAUUCAGUGCUUCCUCCUCAGUGGAUACCGCUGGCCAAAAUGGCUGCCACAGUGAAGGUGUAGUUCAUGGGCCUCAUGGCGCUUCAAAAUGGCCACUGGGGAUAAAUAUGUACUGCACACAAAU